rfam:Helicobacter sp. CLO-3 strain HMC1 NODE_102, whole genome shotgun sequence.
GCUGGUCUAGUGGCGGCUGCUUGUGCUUGCGCGAUUUGCGCCAAAAGCGUGAUUUGUGCUAGGCAUGAGAGGAAAGUCCGAGCUACAAAGACAGGAUUCCAUUUAACGAAUGGCUAGGGCAACCUAAGGGAAAGUGCAACAGAAAACAACCGCCGCCGCGCGCGGUAAGGGUGAAAAGGCGGGGUAAGAGCCCACCGGAAUCUAAGCGAUUAGAUUUGUCUAUGCAAACCCAAUCCGUAGCAAGAAGAGUAUGGUAAAAGUCUUGAUUUUGCUCUUCGCUAGAGGUGCGCUGCGAAGCGCAUCCCAGAUAAAUAGCUGCCCUCGACAGAACUCGGCUUAUACUAGACCAGCGCUU